rnacentral:rRNA from 1 species
AUUGAACGCUGGCGGCAUGCCUUACACAUGCAAGUCGAACGGUAACAGGUCUUCGGAUGCUGACGAGUGGCGAACGGGUGAGUAAUACAUCGGAACGUGCCUAGUAGUGGGGGAUAAUUACUCGAAAGAGUGGCUAUUACCGAAUGAGAUCAACGGAUGAAAGCAGGGAACCGAAAGCCCUUGUGCUACUAGAGCGGCCGAUGGCAGAUUAGGUAGUGGGUGGGAUAAAAGCUUACCAAGCCGACGAUCUGUAGCUGGUCUGAGAGGACGAUCAGCCACACUGGGACUGAGACACGGCCCAGACUCCUACGGGAGGCAGCAGUGGGGAAUUUUGGACAAUGGGCGAAAGCCUGAUCCAGCAAUGCCGCGUGCAGGAUGAAGGCCUUCGGGUUGUAAACUGCUUUUGUACGGAACGAAAAGCCCCGGGUUAAUACCCUGGGGUCAUGACGGUACCGUAAGAAUAAGCACCGGCUAACUACGUGCCAGCCGCCGCCGUAA